AUUGAACGCUGGCGGCAUGCCUUACACAUGCAAGUCGAACGAGUGGCGGACGGGUGAGUAAUGUAUCGGAACGUGCCCAAUAGCGGGGGAUAACUACUCGAAAGAGUGGCUAAUACCGCAUACUAUCGGAUCGGCCUAUAUGGGAUUAGCUAGUUGGUGGGGUAAAGGCUCACCAAGGCAACGAUCCCUAGCUGGUUUGAGAGGACGACCAGCCACACUGGGACUGAGACACGGCCCAGACUCCUACGGGAGGCAGCAGUGGGGAAUAUGGGACAAUGGGGGAAAGCCUGAUCCAGCCAUGCCGCGUGUAUGAGAAGGCCUUCGGGUUGUAAAGUACUUUUGGCAGAGAAGCGUUAUCUGCAGAAUAAGCACCGGCUAACUACGUGCCAGCAGCCGCGGUAAUAC
rnacentral:rRNA from 1 species